rnacentral:rRNA from 1 species
UGCCAGCAGCCGCGGUAAUACGUAGGGGGCAAGCGUUGUCCGGAUUUACUGGGUAUAAAGAGCGCGCAGGCGGGUUUGUAAGUCAGAGGUGAAAUCCUACAGCUCAACUGUAGAACUGCCUUUGAUACUGCAAGCCUUGAGUUCGGAAGAGAGAGAUGGAAUUCCAGGUGUAGUGGUGAAAUACGUAGAUAUCUGGAAGAACACCAGUGGCGAAGGCGAACUCUUGGUCCGUAACUGACGCUGAGGCGCGAAAGCGUGGGGAGCAAACAGGAUUAGAUA